GGCCAUACAUGCCUCGAAUUCUAUGUUACUUACACUUACCAGCAAUUUUGCUUGACUGGUUCAAGGCUUCAAGCCUGCAACUGCCAUUGAGAUGCAGUGGCACCAAAGAUUGAGUGUCGACACAGACGACUUUGAGCUCUUGACUCAUGGUUUCCGAGCAGCUAUUAGCUACACUCUUCAAUGGCUGCACUGAAGGAGGAGUAACGCAGCCACAACCACAAAGAGAGAUCGAAUCAUUUCUUCAGAAGUGAAGCUCGGAGAGCAGGACAGGGUAGUCGGAUCGACCAUGAAGCGGUCAUCUUCUUCUCCGUCCUCACUCGCACGCGCCAUGGCAAUCCUCCUGGUGAUCGUGUGCUGCUGCUCCCUGCUGCCAUUCCCAUGCUCUGCCGUUUGCAAAGGGCGUGCAUUUGGCGACUUUGGUCAGAGUGCUGGGGCCGGGACAAAGGGAGGAGAUCAGGGGGGUGGGGUGCCAGCGCCAAGGGGAGGAGAGGACCAAUUUGAUCAUGGGGGUACGGGAUUAGGAGGAGGGAACCAAGUAGGACGGGCGCCUCCGUCACCACGGGGUAAGACACCGAGGAACCACAGGUGAUGUGACGACUCCUGCCAUGGUGUUCAUCUGGCGCCCCCGGCGGUUAUUGGAAGCUGAUGGCUGCUGGUGUUCCUAGGGGUGGUUUGGGAUGAUGCUUAUCUUUGGCGCAGGUGCUGCCUUUCGAUCGGUUGUAAUUUCUGCUGCUGUCUCAAACUCUUUGGAACAUUUGUAUCACGUGCUAGUAGGUUUUUCUUCUUCUCAUAGUUGUUGUUCGAGAGCGAACAUUCACAAUGGGUUUCUUAUUGGUGCUCCAACUCGCAAGUCUCUUCAAUAUUUUUGUU